GAGAUGUUGGGUUAAGUCCCGUAACGAGCGCAACCCUUGUCCUUAGUUGCCAGCAUUUAGUUGGGCACUCUAAGGAGACUGCCGGUGACAAACCGGAGGAAGGUGGGGAUGACGUCAAGUCAUCAUGGCCCUUAUGGCCUGGGCUACACACGUGCUACAAUGGCAAGUACAAAGGGUUGCUAACUCGCGAGAGUGUGCUAAUCCCAUAAAGCUUGUCGUAGUCCGGAUCGCAGUCUGCAACUCGACUGCGUGAAGUCGGAAUCGCUAGUAAUCGCGGAUCAGAAUGCCGCGGUGAAUACGUUCCCGGGCCUUGUACACACCGC
rnacentral:rRNA from 1 species